rnacentral:rRNA from 1 species
GUCUACUGCCAUACCACCCUGAAUAUGAUCAGUCUUGUCUGAUCUCAGAAGCCAAGCAGGGGUGAUCCUGGUUAGUACUUAGAUAGGAGAAGGCAGUUAACAGCAUAUA